rnacentral:rRNA from 1 species
UACAGAGGUCCCAAGCGUUGUUCGGAUUUACUGGGCGUAAAGGGCGCGUAGGCGGCGCGGUAAGUCACUUGUGAAAUCUCUGAGCUUAACUCAGAACGGCCAAGUGAUACUGCAGUGCUAGAGUGUGGAAGGGGCAAUCGGAAUUCUUGGUGUAGCGGUGAAAUGCGCAGAUAUCAGGAGGAACACCGAUGGCGAAGGCAGCUCGCUGGGACGGUACUGACGCUGAGACGCGAAAGCGUGGGGAGCGAACAGG